rnacentral:rRNA from 1 species
GACGAACGCUGGCGGCGUGCUUAACACAUGCAAGUCGAACGGAAAGGCCCGGCUUUUGGGGGGUGCUCGAGUGGCGAACGGGUGAGUAACACGUGAGUAACCUGCCCUUGACUGUGGGAUAACUUCAGGAAACUGGGGCUAAUACCGGAUAGGAGCUCCUGCUGCAUGGUGGGGGUUGGAAAGUUUCGGCGGUUGGGGAUGGACUCGCGGCUUAUCAGCUUGUUGGUGGGGUAGUGGCUUACCAAGGCUUUGACGGGUAGCCGGCCUGAGAGGGUGACCGGCCACAUUGGGACUGAGAUACGGCCCAGACUCCUACGGGAGGCAGAAGUGGGGAAUAUUGCACAAUGGGCGGAAGCCUGAUGCAGCAACGCCGCGUGCGGGAUGACGGCCUUCGGGUUGUAAACCGCUUUCGCCUGUGACGAAGCGUGAGUGACGGUAAUGGGUAAAGAAGCACCGGCUAACUACGUG